rnacentral:rRNA from 1 species
UACGUAGGCAGCAAGCGUUGUUCGGAAUUACUGGGCGUAAAGGGAGCGUAGGCGGGUUAUCAAGUUGGGGGUGAAAGCCCGGGGCUCAACCUCGGAAUUGCCUUCAAAACUGAUAACCUGGAGUAUGGAAGAGGUAAGUGGAACUCCGAGUGUAGAGGUGAAAUUCGUAGAUAUUCGGAAGAACACCAGUGGCGAAGGCGACUUACUGGUCCAUUACUGACGCUGAGGCUCGAAAGCGUGGGGAGCAAACAGG